rnacentral:lncRNA from 1 species
CUGGGGAGGGAGAGAGAUGCACACAUGCAUCCAGCAGGACUCACAGGACCCCCAGCUCAGAUGGGUGCCCCAGGUACCAAGGAAUCCCAUGGACCUUGAGGAUGGGGACCUGGGCACACCCGCCCCCUUGGAGCAGGACACUCACCCCUCGUCCUCAUAGAGCCCACGUUGCCAGUCAACUCCUAAAGGCACUGGAUGUCCUUUCAGUCAUCUCUUCCCUACCACUGUGCACCUUCAAGAGGGCUCGGCAGAAUCCUGGAAUGGAGACAGGAGCCCAGUCCUUGAUGCCAGCUGACCAACUAACUGUCCGCAGUGGCCUACAAUAACAACAGCUACAACAAUACUACUUUCCACUCGGCUGAGACUUGACUUGUGUAGUAGACAGCCUCUAAGAUGGCCCCUAGGGAUCCCCACCUCCUGUGCUCAUACCCUUGGGUAGUUAGUCCACGUUGUAUCAGCAUUGUUUCAUGUGACCCAGGAACCUCUGGCAGAAGUGAUGGCAUGUCACUUCUGAUUGUUAUAAAAGACACUGUGGCUUGUUUUGCAUUCUCUUUCUCUUUCUCUGAUCACUUGCUCUGGGGGAAACCAGUUGCCAUGUGCUGAGAGAACUCAGAAGGCCUAGAUGGAGGUCUCUGCAGCAAGAAAUGGAGGCCUCCAGCCUUUGGCCAGCAACUGCGGCUUCCUGCCAACUGCCUCUUGAAUGAGCUUGGAAGUAGAUUCUCCAUCCCCAGUUAAGCCUUGAGAUGACAGCAACCCUGGUGACAGCUGGCUGCUUCUCUGAGAGUGCCCUGAUCCUAGAAGGAGGUCUCAGAGAGAAGGGACAGCAGGGGGUGGGGGAUGCCCAAGAAGGAAGUUUCUAUAUGUGUAUGUGAUUCAGGAAAUCCACAUGCUCUUGCCUAAAGAGUUUUCUCUGUGAGAUCCUGAGCCACAAGGUACCCAGCUAAGUUGAACCGAGAUUGCAGGCCACAGGAACUGUGAGAUAACAAUGGUUCGUUGUUUUAAGUAGCUAAGUUUCAGGGUUAAUCGUUCUGCAGCAAUAGAGAAUUAAUACAACUGGUUCCCAGUUCCUUGAGGGUAGAGCCUGGGCCUCACUCACCUUCAGAGCCUCAAUGCCCAGAUCACCCUGAGAGCUCAGGGUCUGUGUUGGUUGAUUUAAAAUUGGAUUUUCCUUCCUCACAUGACAUAUGAGGAGAUGGAUCAGGGACUCAGAAGGGCACAGGUGGGGCUCGAAUUCAGGGCUGCAAUCCCAUACCCACUCCCACCGCCCUCAAUGGCCUUCUGCACUGGCUGUCUCCAUGCUCGUCUCCGUUGGCCCCUCCCUCAGUGUUGGAGAUGUGUCUGAGAUAGGUAAGCAUGUGCAUAUUAAGGUAUGUAGACAUGUGUGUGUGAGGGUGUGGUGGGUGGACCAUGAGUGUGCACGUAUGACUUUGGGAAUCUCUGCCUGGAGCACAUUUCCAGGACAGAACCACUUCAUAGCCUUUCCUGUCACCAUUGUCUAUGUCUUUAGCACAUCAGUGUCCACUCAACAGCAGCUACUAAGCAGGUUGUGUGCCCAGAUCUACUGUGCCUGAUGAUGCAGGGAGAGAUGGAGGAGGCAAAGGAGCCCCCAGCGGACCAGCAUUCUUCAUCAGCUCUCUCUCUCCUGGCCCAUUGAUUUCUACACAAAUCGGACCUCUCAGCAUCUACGGUGCUUUAGUAACAGGCCUUUAUGAGACUGGACAAGGAAUGGGAUGGUCUCCAAAGGCCCCAGCACAUGGUACAGGCCCUGCCACAUAGAAGAUGCCCAGUGAGAAUGGAACGAAUGAUGGGUGAGUCAACACACCAAUAAGGGAAGGAACAUUGUCUGGGCAAGAGCAUGCCGAUUUCCUGAACCACGUACACAUGCAGAAGCUUCCUUCUGGGUAUCCCUCGCCCCCUGCUGUCCCUUCUCUCUGAGACCUCCUUCCAGGAUCAGGGCACUCACCCAUGUUAUCAGCCAGACCUGGCAAGUUUCACUCAUCGUCAGCAUUUCCUUAACAAGGCCUUUUCAAAAAACACAGUCACGAAAGCCCUGCUGCAUGCAAACAUUACGCACUCCCUGCUGGCUUCAUCUUUCUCCCAUUUAGAAAACGAGCAAGACAGGUUGGAGAAAAAAGCUCAAAUUAAGACACACACAACUGGCUCCAGGAAGUAAUGAUUCCCUCAACCAUCAUUUGCCUCCCUCUUGCACAGCCUCCAUGUGGGUUUCUACAGGCCCCCAACUGCCUGGGGACUGCAGCAGAAGCUGCCAUGCCCUUUGGGGGACCUCUCCAACUGUGUCAGAGUCCUAAUUUUAAUUCUUCCACUUGCACAUGAAGCUGAAAGUUGUUUCCCAAGUAUCCCAGCUUGGGCAAGGCCUCCUGGCAUCACGUCUGAGCUCCUAGCAACCUGUGAAUCUCUCUCCGUCUCCCCCACCCCAAUCCUCAAGAAAAAGGUGUUCUGAUUAGAGCAGGGUGUCCUCCGGGUCUUGCCCUUGUGCUCCCACAGACCCCGAGCCCUGAGCUAGGGUGUGAGGUGGUAGGAAAAGGACUUGGCACUCCCUCCCCCAUCUCCCACUCAGAGACCUCUAGGGCAGUGUGUCCCCACCAAACUCCAGCCACCCCCGCUCCUCUGCACACAUCACACACGUCCCUUGAUUGUUCCUGCCCUCGGGUCGCCAUGGUGACAGGCACUAACAGCGCUGAUGCUAUUUCCUAGAAUGGACAGACACCGUCCCCCACCCUGAAGACAGCCUUCCCUGAGCUGCCCUCGAUGGCCUCCCUCCUCCUGCUCUAGCAGGAGGAAGAAGCCUCGGGGAGAAAAGGCCAAGGAAGGGACUGGGUUCUGGGAGUGGAGGAGGCAGGUGAGGAGCAGGGAUCUGUGAGCAGGAGCCAGGCCUACCUGCCCACCUGUGCAGAGGCCUGAGCCUGCUCAGGGGUGCUGCAGGGGACUGAAGGGAUGCAGCCCAGGCAAGAGAACAGGGCAUGAUGGCCGCAGGCCCAGAGCCUGGGAGUCAGGAGGCCUGGGUUCCAGGGCCUGCUCUGCCUGUAAGGCCCUGCCAGCUCUGGGCCUUGGUGUCCUCAAGACACUGGUCACAUUAAAAUCUCUCAGGCUACUCUUCUCCUGGGGGGUGGGGGGAGCUGUAUAGAGAAAAAUGGCUGAGGAACACCAGUAAAAAUAAAUGAAGUGCAAGGACAGGGGAUGGAGAGCUUGAGAGGGCAGAGAGCACAGAACCACGAGGACUGGUGGCCUGAGGCAGCUUCCUGAAGAGGCAGCGGACACCCUGGUGUGGGAAGGAUGCUCCCUGAACAUUCCUGCAUGGAGAACAGCCUUGCAAAGGCUCAGGGACAGGACCAUUGUCAGGGAAGAGGAGUCUGGAUGUGACUGAGCUGGAAAGUCCCCGGAGGUCCGUGGCAGGGGCAGCCGUGGUCAGAGCAGCGUGAGGUGGGCGCAUGAAGGAAGGAGGAGUGAAUGAAGGAGUGGCAAGCAGGGCGGGGGAUGGUGUGGAACAGGAAAACUCAUGGAUUCAAUGGCAGAUUAGGGAGGACAGAGGGCAGGGCCUAUUCUCUGGGUACCGUGGGUCCCUCCAGAAAGGCCUGUUGCAUGUUUUCCCAGGGGUGAAGGGGAUCCCAGCCCCCUUCCCAACCCCAAUGCUGCCCCUCAUUACAAUCCCACGUGGUGAGAGGCAGAAGCACAACCAGAAAUGUUCCAGCAAAAAAAAAGACACAAUGGUUCUUGGCAAACUUUUUUGGCUAGAACAUUUCCAGCUGGGCUCCAGGCACAUCCGCCGUCCACCCUUUCCUUGGCUGGCCUCUGGCCCCCCUGCCCCACUGUACUUGGCUCUCCUCUGAGCCCUCCUCUUCAUCGUCAUGUGACAGAGCACCAGCAGGCUCCCCCCAGCCAGCCCCCUACCCUCUUGAUCCCCUCCCCACCUUGAGGCCCAGGACUCACCAUUUCCCUCAGGCCCUCGGGCUGCCCGGGACUGGGUGUGAACUUAUGUCCCCAUGUGGUCUUAAGAGAACAGUGCCAUGACCUCCAGUGGUGUGCAUGAUAGUGGUAGAGGGUGGUGUUUGGCCACAUGCGGUGGAGGCUUCCAUUAAGGGAGGAGAGUUAUGCAGAGGAGGGGAGGACCAUAACCCCCUACGGCAUCUUAACAGCACCGGGGCAGAAGGUCCUGUGCCCAGGAAGAGGGUUACCCAGUGGGCCUUGCCCCUUGCUCAGCAGUGCGUUCCAAGUACCAUGUUAGAAGAGGGGUCAAGGUCUCCCACCCCCGUGCCACAGGUCCAGGGUGGGUGAUGGCGGU